CCACAAUUUACACAAGCCUAUUCUGGCAGAAAUACAAGCCACUAAUAUCCCCAACAUUUCGGCACCUCCUGGCUGCCUUUCUUAAGGGUGUUUGUAUCAUGGCUUACCAAUAUCCCACAUCCAGCUCAUGGCCAUCAGCAACCAAUCUGAUCCGACCACAGAAGUGACAUCAUCGUAUCGGUCAGUGCUAACAUAAGAUGCGCAAGCGUGUGACCAUUCAGGACAAUUAUGUGGAUGUAUUGCUAUUUACUGAUCAUCUAUUUACAUAUUGCGGCGCAGGCGUGGAAUACGUGCUAGCAUAGCCCAUUUCAUCUGUGGGCAGUUUCCAGGAUGAGUAAUGGCAGCAUAUAACAUACUAGGACGGAUGCGCAUGCGCAUAUGCGCAUGCGUUUUACAUUUGGAACAUAUACAGGACUUUUUUAAACCUG